rnacentral:rRNA from 1 species
UGGGGAAUCUUGGACAAUGGGGGCAACCCUGAUCCAGCGACGCCGCGUGGGUGGUAAGGCCUUCGGGUUGUAAAGCCCUUUCAGCGGGGAUGAUAAUGACAGUACCUGGAGAAUAAGCUCCGGCUAACUCCGUGCCAGCAGCCGCGGUAAUACGGAGGGAGCUAGCGUUGUUCGGAAUUACUGGGCGUAAAGCGCGCGUAGGCGGCUAUCCAAGUCAGGGGUGAAAUCCCGGGGCUCAACCCCGGAACUGCCCUUGAAACUAGGUAGCUAGAAUACUGGAGAGGUGAGUGGAAUUCCGAGAGUAGAGGUGAAAUUCGUAGAUAUUCGGAAGAACACCAGUGGCGAAGGCGACUCACUGGACAGUUAUUGACGCUGAGGUGCGAAAGCGUGGGGAGCAAACAGGAUUAGAUACCCCGGUAGUCC